rnacentral:rRNA from 1 species
GAAGAAAGAGGGAGGAGGGAGGAACACAUGAAAGUCGAACGGUGAAGCGCCUUCCUUUUUGGUGGGUGUGGAUGAGUGGGGAAAGGGUGAGUAAAAAGUGAGUAAAAUGCUUACUUCUUCUGGAUAAACGAAUGAAAGUGUGGCUAAUACGGGAUAUUCUGGGUCUGUCGCAUGAUGGGUCUGGGAAAGAUAUUGUUUCGGUGGGGGAUGGGCUCGCGGCCUAUCAGCUUGUUGGUGGGGUGAUGGCCUAGGAGGGGAUGGACGGGUAGCCGGCCUGAGAGGGUGGACGGUCACACUGGGACUGAGACACGGCCCAGACUCCUACGGGAGGCAGCAGUGGGGAAUAUUGCACAAUGGGCGCAAGCCUGAUGCAGCGACGCCGCGUGAGGGAUGGAGGCCUUCGGGUUGUGAACCUCUUUCUCCAGUGAAGCAGGCCUGCCUCGUUUGUGGGUGGGUUGACGGUAGCUGGAUAAGAAGCGCCGGCUCCCUACGUC